GUCCAUGCUGUAAACGAUGAGAACUGGGUGUCGCGGGUAUUGACCCCCGCGGUGCCGAAGCCAACGCGUUAAGUUCUCCGCCUGGGGAGUACGGCCGCAAGGCUAAAACUCAAAGGAAUUGACGGGGGCCCGCACAAGCGGUGGAGCAUGUGGUUUAAUUCGACGCAACGCGAAGAACCUUACCCGGGCUCGAAAGUGCAGGAACCUGGCCGAAAGGCUGGGGUGCUCGCAAGAGAGCCUGUAUCCAGGUGCUGCAUGGCUGUCGU
rnacentral:rRNA from 1 species